AUGAAGAAGAAGAAGAAGGAUCUGCCAGGAGAGCCGCAGCCGUUCUAUUUCCCAGCUGCGCAAAUUACACUUGGGAUCUCUCAAUGCCGAGAGCCAACGAACUAUUGGCUGCGGAGCAGAAGUAGAUGCAUCACCUGGUAACCAUAGGUUAGGAGAAGAUAGCCGCGAAGUAACUUGGUGCAGUACAGUAGUGUUGUGAGCAGUGGGACAGCAGAGCCCUUCCAGUCAAGCUACAACUUCGGGUUAAGAAGGGGACAUACGACAGCCGCCUCCAGUGGGGUAACCAAGCCCCGGACAAAAGAGAGCAAUGGUACCACCUCCACUGCAAGAGUUUCAUGGAGGUCAGCCGGGACCAAUAGGACCGGGACAAAUGGCUCCUGGACCUUACCCUAUGCAACCCAUGCAACCCAUGCAGGUACCCGAUGCAGAAGUGGCGAAGCAACCUCCUCACUAUGAAAAUGAAGCAGCAAAUGGAAUAAUGAUGAAUCGAAGAACCAAAUCCCGUCUAAGGGAUCCCGUCGCUUUGAAGCGGAUUUGAACGAGACCACGGCCACGACAGAGGCCUACCUGGGACAAGAUGAAGCGGGUAAUGUCACGACGCUGUCAUCCCUCCUGUUCAAGGUGGUACAGCGCAGGGUGAAAAACGGCUCAAUGAAGGCAUUGAAUGAUGCCAGACAAUAUGAUGCAUGAGUUCAAUGUAAUGCUCACGGAUAUCAUGCCUGUCAUUGGCCAUUUCUUUAUUUUAUGUCGCGCAGUGUAAGACCACUGAUAACUUG